rnacentral:lncRNA from 1 species
AACUUAGGGACAUUUAGGAUUUAGGAAAGAUCAAACCAAAAUAGGAAACCUUGGCUUAACUUUCUUACUUCAAGUAGGAAUCCUCAUCUUUAGGUCUUCAAUUUCGUCCAUUCCCUUAGUUCUAAGCAUGUGAUAUUUAUUCCAAGCCCAAAAUUGCUCCAAAAGGCUCCAAAAUGCACAUUUUUGCAUACUUUGUCCUUAGAACCUGAAAUUGCACAAAAAUGACUUUAAACAUUAAAACUACUAAGGAAUAACAACAUAAAUGCAUGAGAACAAGCUAACUCAGUUGCAUAAAUAUGCUCCUAUCAAAUUCCCCCACAAUUAGCUUUUGCUAGUCCUCGAGCAAAACAAAAGAAACAAACGAAUCAAAACAAACAGAACACAACUUAACCUUCCAACAUUUGCCUCAGGGAUUUCCAAUGCACAUGACAUGUUAAAAAUCAUCAUUCCCAUAGCUUUUAGUCAUCUUCACACUUGAGCACAUACUUAAUUACAGUCACCACUUACUAGUUCACAAUUAACCAAUUAAAACGAUAUUUUGAAUGUAGUAACAUGCCUUAGAGAAUUUGCUCAAUUCCUUACAAGAUACUCUCUAUUUUCACACACAUUUUCUGACUACACACCCUACACUAGUUAUAUGUGAGCAGAUUGAUGUAAACAUGGAAGACUAGUACUCACAUAUGUUAUAACAAAGAAAGCAAUUUAUGGAGUUAAUAAGCAUGUUUACAUAUGAUCUCAUGAAUGGAAUGCUACUACUUAGAUGCGAGAACCAGUGACACCAUAUGCUCAUACCAAUUUCGAACUCCACAAAUUGAAACACACAACACUCAAGAUUGAAGUCAUGGGUUGUAACAGGGCUUGGGGGUAAUGGCUAAUAAAGAAAGGAUAGCAAUAACAAACGUUCUUAAAGCGAUAGCAAGCAAAGCAAUGAAAUAGACACUUGGAAUUCACUUUAGAAUGCAGAAUCAACUUUUAAAUACAAAGGGAAGAUUCAUGCAACACUUAGGGUCGAAUUCAAUGUUUUGGACCCUUUUUUAACAAACUUUUUUCUUUUCACUCUUUUUUUUUUCUUUCUUUUCUACCCAUGCCUUAUUAAGGACUUUGGUACACACACACACACAAGAAUCACUUCCCCCACACUUGCUUUCUGCAACACAUUGAUAAAAAAGGAGUUCAUUUUAAGUUAUGCUUUACUAUGCUUCAAGAACAAGGGUAUGGAUAGUCCUAAAACUAGGCUAGCUAAGGAUAGUGUGGAGUAACAAAGAACAUAGGCUUAACAAGGUUCAACAGGGUUAAACUUAAACACAUAAUGAAAUAGGGGCACGACAAUU